GUUUCCGUAGCUCAGCAGGAUAGAGCGUUCGCCUCCUAAGCGAAAGGCCGUGGGUUCGACUCCCGCCGGGAACACCA
rnacentral:tRNA from 1 species